GUGGACGCUCCCUCCUGAGGUCACAGGAGCCUUACAGCACCCUCCUCUGCCUCUUGCAAUGCUCUUUCUGGGGACACCAGCCACCAGCUGAGAGAACCAAGUCCCUGGAGAUGCCACCCCUAAGUGGCUUCGAGCAGACUCCUGCCAGCAGUCCCGACUGAGCCCUGCCUUCCUGCCAGCCCCAGGGACUCCAUACCCCUCACAACCUGGCUGGCCCUUUUUGAGGUGUGGCUGGACCUGCAGGGCUUUCCAGAGGGCCAGACACCACGGGACCCUUAAUUUGCACCUUAUAGAGCUAAGGUGAGCAAGAAAGKGUCCCCUGGAAAGGUCUUCACGUGGAUUGACUUAACAAAGACACCAUUUUGCAGUGAGAAAAGUGAAGCAAGCAGAAGAAAACGUCCAUGGAUCUCCCUGACCUGUCUGCGGGCCUCUCUGGGCCGCCUUGCCCUCUGUCCCUGCAGACAGUGCUUCUCUCGGAAGCCAGCCCCUCCCUUGGUGGGCUCCAUGGCUGCACUCCAGCAACUCUCCUCUCUCAGCCUUUUGCCAGCUUCUCGUCUCUCCUGGAUCAAGCUCAUCUAUAGCAAAACACAGCCUAACCCUGUUCACUGCAUGUUACAAAACCUCCUGUCCCCAGCUCCCCUGUCACCUCUACCCCAAUUCCGUUUCCCUUUCCAGCAAGUUCCACAGGGAGUUGUCCUCACUUGUUUCCUCCAACUCAUUCUUGUUUCCAGUUCAGUCAGGCCUCUGCUCUCCCCAGCUCCCUGCUCCAGAACUGUCCCUACCAAGGUCACCCGUGGUGUCCAAGUGGCUCACUCCUCAUCUCUCUUUUGGUCCAUCAACAACAUUCGGCACUCCUCACCACUUUCUCUUCUUUGAAAUACUUUCUUCACCCGGUUUCCAGGUCCCCAAAUUCUCUUGAUCUUUCCUUUGACUCAAACGGUGGCUCUCGUUCUUAGCGCACCUCUGGGCUUCAGGGAUCAGUCCCGUUUCCUCUUCUUGACCCACAUGAACUCCCCGAGUGACCUCAGCCAGUCUCACAACUCUGAAUGCCAUCCUGGUGCCCAUGACUCCCGAGUGUGUCGAGUGUGUUUUGAGCCCAGGUUUUCUCCACACUCCAGGUUCGCCUGCCCAACCGCUUACUCAACGUCUUCAUUUCUGAGAUCUAGUGGAUAUCUCAAACUUAGCAAGUCCAAACCUUAAAUGACCCUAUGGCUCAGGAUUCUGCCCACAAACCCCACCUCCUCAUCUUGAGUGAUGAGACCUCUCCCUUCCAGGAGCUCAGACAAAAAUCUUAAAGCAUCCGUGAGUUUAUCUCCUUCUCUUGCACCCAACAUGCAAUUCACGAGGAAACCCGGAUCAGUGACGCUGUCUUGGGGACAUAACCUAAGUCUCACUGCUCACUCCUCCACUGCUCUCAGCCUAGUCCUAGCUGCAUUUCCAGUCCUUGUCUUGCCCCUGAAGCUACUUUGCACACCAAAGCCAGAGAGGUCAGAAAAUAUCAUUACUCAGCUGCAACUCUGCAAUGGCUCAAGGUAACAUCUGGAGUCCUCACAAUGGCCUGAAAGCCCUUGGUGCCCUGUUGGCAGGCCCUCACCCUCUGCCUCCAACUCCCCGUGCCUCAUCUUGCUCUCUGCCCCAGCCACACUGGUCUCCUGGCUGCUCCUCACAUGCUCUACCUUGGGGACUUUGCACUAGUUAUUCUUCCACCUGGAACAACUGUCCCUCAAUGUCUCCACCCCCUCAAGAUGUCAUUGCUCAGAGGUCAUUGUCUCAGUAAAGCCACCCCUAACCACUGUGGUCCUUG